rnacentral:lncRNA from 1 species
CAAAACCGCUAAACAUGAUGCAAACCACGUUGAGACCUAAAUAUUCCACGACGCCGACUUCUUAUUUCUCUGACUUAUAGCUAGUUCUUAACUUCAAAUCAUCCGUCUUCUACAAAAAAUACAAGAAAACAUAACAAUUAUGGAUAUUCAUAGUGAUUUAAUCAAGCAAGUUCAAAGUUUCGAUCUUUACAAUUUCAACGGUUUUUUCUGGAUUGAAUUGAUUCUAUAAGAUGAAAAGGUAUUUAUAAUCUAUUACUAUCUUAUAAUUCUUUUUUAAAUUUGCAUAUGUGCAUAUAAUCAAUAGCAAAAACCUGAUUGAAAUAUGUGUGCCUUAAAUAUGUUUCUCAGUGGUAUAAUAAGCAUAUAUCAUGUUAUUUUCCCUGAUGGCUUCUUUUGGUGGUACUGAUAUUGCAUCUUUUCGUCUUCUUGAGCCGAUGGUCUUUCGGAAAUAACCUCUCUACUCUCUCAGGGUAAGAGUAAGGUAUGCGUACACACGCACCUCCCCAAACUGGGUUGUUGUUAUUGUUAUUGUUGUUUGUGAACUUAAAAUUAUCAUAUUACUUUCUAUUUAACAUGUUCUAAUUCUUUAAAUGCAAUUGGGGAAAUCCCCAUUUUUAGUGAGGUCCAAACAUACAAACAAGGUGAAAUUUCUAUAAAGAUUAUGAAUGUCGAACUUAAAGAUAUUGAGUAAGAAUAAAUGCUCAUUCACUGAUUACGGAUUAAUUUGGCAAUUACAUAUGCUAAAAAUUAUCUUUCUAUUUCGAUUUGGCAGGACAAAGAACCGCUACAUUCUGGGGGAAAUUAUUGAUCAAAUUGUGCCUCAUCUGUCAAGCUUUAACAACCACCCUAUAGUUGUUGCUAUGCGACUUAUAAAAGCAUAUAAAUUUCAAGAUAAAAUGCAAUUAUUCACAUGUCUUUACUUUGUGAGAAGUUAUUUCAUUACAUCUUACACAUAUGUUAUUUCGCAAUACUUGGAAUGUAUCAAAGUUUUGGAUUAAUCCAAUUUUUCCUCAAUA